rnacentral:lncRNA from 1 species
CUUGGUUUUCCUUGUUUUGACUGGAUUUAACAUGAAUUGAAUGAAGGAAGCUGAAGUAGGAAGGAGUUGGACUCAAGAAAAGAUGGAAAAGUGCACAAAGGAAGAAUCGCAACCACCAGUAAGCGCUAGUGCACCGCUGAGCGCCAGUCUCGCUGUGGAGAUCUCUGUCAAAUGCUCAAGCGCCAACACAGAGGGGAGGAAUUGAGUAUCGCGUCCUCCGCUGAGCGGUGGCCUCUUCAAAGAAUUCACUGCCAAACGCCUGAGCGUUAACGCUGAGCGUCCAUUUUGAGUGUCGCACCUACCGCUAAGCGGUGACCCAACGCUGAGGGGCAU